rnacentral:misc_RNA from 1 species
AAGUCGUAACAAGGUUUCCGUAGGUGAACCUGCGGAAGGAUCAUUAACACGUAUAACGUUAAACCCCCCGUGAACCUUUAUUGUGGCACGCCUAUCCGUUAGAAAGUGGCAAUCCCUGGUAAAUCAUCGCCGAACAGUUUUGAUUCAGGGACUUCUGCGUGGGCCGAGGGCGCCGGCCGUGUUGGCCUCUAGCGAUCGUGAUUGCGCCACCCGUACAGAGCUAGUGACACUUUCAGACACUAACAAGCAGAGGGAUGCCAGGUCACUUGCUCGCGCAGUUGUCCUAGAUCACCCCUUUGCAUGAAAACGGGCCUGCGCUUAAUUGUGCGGCCACCAAACUCGAACAACUGUUAACAAUGGAUAUCUUGGUUCUC